UUACUAGGCUAUUUCGGUAGAUGCCCUUCUAAUGUCAGUGGGACAGCUUGCAGAAAGGCAACAUUUUCACUUGCAGGGUUAAAAAGACAAGGACUUAUAACCCAGCCCACUUGAUUAUGAUUAAAUGGUCUCUGUGCCUAAACACUACCUUUAAAGGCAGCCAAAUUAACCCUUACCAUGCAGUUGUUAAUCACACCACCUCGAUUCGGUAUACCCAUCUCAGAU